rnacentral:rRNA from 1 species
GCUUGUCUCAAAGAUUAAGCCAUGCAUGUCUAAGUAUAAAUAAUUUUACUGUGAAACUGCGGAUGGCUCAUUAAAUCAGUUAUAGUUUAUUUGAUAGUCGCUUACUACAUGGAUAACCGUAGUAAUUCUAGAGCUAAUACAUGCAUCAAACCCCGACUUUUUGGAAGGGGUGUAUUUAUUAGAUGGAAACCAAUGCGGGGCAACCCGGAUUAUGGUGAUUCAUAAUAACUUUCGGAUCGAUCUUCGGAUCGAUGCAUCAUUCAAGUUUCUGCCCUAUCAGCUUUGGAUGGUAGGGUAUUGGCCUACCAUGGCUUUAACGGGUAACGGAGAAUUAGGGUUCGAUUCCGGAGAGGGAGCCUGAGAAACGGCUACCACAUCCAAGGAAGGCAGCAGG